GUGUAAAAGAGGAAGAAAGAGAGGUUCUAAGAAUAAUGGGACUGGGAACAUACGAGAAAGCAUGCGCUCUCUCUUUGUGUUUUCUCGAUGCCUCCCAUUCCUAUCAUUCUUAGUUCUCCUUCCUCUUUCUAUUUCAC
rfam:Oryza brachyantha chromosome 4, whole genome shotgun sequence.